rnacentral:rRNA from 1 species
GACGAACGCUGGCGGCGUGCUUAACACAUGCAAGUCGAACGGAAAGGCCCUGCUUUUGUGGGGUGCCCGAGUGGCGAACGGGUGAGUAACACGUGAGUAACCUGCCCUUGACUUUGGGAUAACUUCAGGAAACUGGGGCUAAUACCGGAUAGGAGCUCCUGCUGCAUGGUGGGGGUUGGAAAGUUUCGGCGGUUGGGGAUGGACUCGCGGCUUAUCAGCUUGUUGGUGGGGUAGUGGCUUACCAAGGCUUUGACGGGUAGCCGGCCUGAGAGGGUGACCGGCCACAUUGGGACUGAGAUACGGCCCAGACUCCUACGGGAGGCAGCGGUGGGGAAUAUUGCACAAUGGGCGGAAGCCUGAUGCAGCAACGCCGCGUGCGGGAUGACGGCCUUCGGGUUGUAAACCGCUUUCGCCUGUGACGAAGCGUGAGUGACGGUAAUGGGUAAAGAAGCACCGGCUAACUACGUG